UACGUAGGAUGCAAGCGUUGUCCGGAAUUAUUGGGCGUAAAGAGCGUGUAGGCGGUCCGGUAAGUCAGCUGUGAAAGUCAAGGGCUCAACCCUUGAAAGCCGGUUGAUACUGUCGGGCUAGAGUCCGGAAGAGGCGAGUGGAAUUCCCGGUGUAGCGGUGAAAUGCGCAGAUAUCGGGAGGAACACCAAUGGCGAAGGCAGCUCGCUGGGACGGUACUGACGCUGAGACGCGAAAGCGUGGGGAGCAAACAGG
rnacentral:rRNA from 1 species